AAAUCAGCUACUGCUGCAAGGCGUUGUGCUGUUAGUCUUAUCAUAGGCAUGGUCUUUGCAGUGCCCUAAAUGUUAAUCUCCCAGAGAAGAGAAUAGAGGCAGCCAAGGAGGAUGCUGUUGAACCAGUUAGAAGAUUUUUGCAGUCAACCCAGCAAGAGAUGAUGAUAAUGUGAACUUGGGAAAUGGCACAGAAGAUAUAAAACAGAGGACAGAUUUCAGAGGUUCACAAUCUCUACUCUGCAAUUCCAAAAUAAGACAAAAACAG
rnacentral:lncRNA from 1 species